UACAGAGAGUGCAAGCGUUAAUCGGAAUUACUGGGCGUAAAGCGCACGUAGGUGGAUAUUUAAGUCGAAUGUGAAAGCCCCAAGCUUAACUUGGGAACUGCAUCCGAUACUGAGUAUCUCGAGUAUGGUAGAGGGAAGUGGAAUUUCCGGUGUAGCGGUGAAAUGCGUAGAUAUCGGAAAGAACAUCAGUGGCGAAGGCGGCUUCCUGGACCAAUACUGACACUGAGGUGCGAAAGCGUGGGGAGCAAACAGG
rnacentral:rRNA from 1 species